rnacentral:rRNA from 1 species
AACGUAGGUGACAAGCGUUAUCCGGAUUUACUGGGCGUAAAGCGCGUUCAGGCGGUUUGGCAAGUCGGGCAUGAAAUCUCCUGGCUCAACCAGGAGGGGCUGUCCGAUACUUCCAGACUUGAGGGCAGUAGAGGGUGGUGGAAUUCCGGGUGUAGUGGUGAAAUGCGUAGAUAUCCGGAGGAACACCGGUGGCGAAGGCGCACAUCUGGCCCGAUACGUGACGCUGAGCGCGAAAGCUAGGGGAGCAAACGGG